AGGACGAACGCUGGCGGCGUGCUUAACACAUGCAAGUCGAACGAUGAUGCCUAGCUUGCUGGGUGGAUUAGUGGCGAACGGGUGAGUAACACGUGAGUAACCUGCCCUUAACUCUGGGAUAAGCCUGGGGAAACUGGGUCUAAUACUGGAUAUGACUUUUCAUCGCAUGGUGAUUGUGAAAGAUUUUGGUUUGGAUGGACUCGCGGCCUAUCAGCUUGUGGUGAGGUAUGGCUCACCAAGGCGUACGACGGUAGCCGGCCUGAGACGGGUGACCGGCCACACGUGGGACUGGAGACACGGCCCAGACCUCCGUACGGGAGCCAGCGAGUAGGGAAUAGUUGACAACAAGUGGGACAAGUCGCCUAGAUGCAGCGACGCCGGCGUGAGGAUAGAAUCGU
rnacentral:rRNA from 1 species